CUUGGAAAGAAAGUGGGGGGGGGCCAGAUGAGCACCCUCAAGGGUCCACUUCCAGGGUCUUUAAAGGAGGCCUCAUCUCCCUCAGGUAGAUGCUUCAAGGCCACACUGAAGGGCACGUGUCAGCAGGACCUGGUCCCUCCUGGGGUCACAGAUGGCAUCUUCUGGACAGAGCCCCUCAAGUCCACAUAAGCCCAUGCUUCAGAGGAUGAGACAAAGGGUGAAAACAAUUUGCUCAUCUGUAAAAAUAAUAAAUGAGACCCUUUGGUCUCAGUGGCCCCAAUACAGGCAGCACGGGAGAAGGACCUAAUUUACUCAUGGGAUUUUUUUUCCCUUUGAGUUGGAAAUUCACUGCUAUAGAAGGGAAGGACUCACAGUGCUCAUAAAAGAAAGGAGAUGGAGGAAGACCUCGAAGGGAGUCAAGAGUGGCUCUGUCAUCUGUCUCCUGAUUUACACGUGGACAAAGACACACUUCCUCUCUCCCUCCCUCUCUCAACAUGUGAUGCAUCACACUUGCACCCCUGGAUCAUUUCCAACACCUGCCCCCUUAACCUCCAGCCUCUCCAGGUUCCAGACGCCCCUGGAGGUUGGUGAGGGCAGCACAGGUGGGGAACGCGGACUCACACAGGUGACAGCAGGAAGGCCCCUGGAAACCACCACGCUGCUCCCUGUCUCCAUGGAUUUGCCGGAUCUGGACAUUCUGUGGAAUGCCACAUCGCUGCCACCUGGUGUGAUUGCAAGAGAGCCUGACACCACGUUCAGAUCCUACCCAGCCACGACUCCACCCCCGAAUAAAAGCGCAGAGCUAGCCACUAAAUGCAGACCGCAGCUGAUUAUACCUGACUCAGCCUUGGGUUGCCUGUGCCUGUUUCCUGCCCCUCUACAUCUGCAUUUAUGUGCCCCUCUCUGGUUGUAGGCUCCUAGGGUAAUAAAAGAGAUUUUAUGCCAACUAUUGGC
ensembl:lncRNA